rnacentral:snRNA from 1 species
UUUGGCAACUCUUGCUGCGG